UGCUGUCGCAUUUUCCUGAAGUCUG
rnacentral:misc_RNA from 1 species